rnacentral:misc_RNA from 1 species
CCAUCAAUCCAAGAAAUCUGUGUCCAUAAUCUGGAAGUUAUUAUAUAAUAGAAUGUUGCUUUGAUCACAAGUUCAAAGAGAGGGGAAAUUCCAACAAUAAGGAAAGUUGCAUGUUCCAAGAAUUCAACCUCAUAUACCCAUCCAGUGAGAAUGAUUAUUUAACUAAUAUUGUUAAAAUAGAAAUCUUUUUAUUUAGGGUCCACAGGAGGAGAAAUUAGAAUUUACCAUUGAAAGGAGGGGAGUGGAAACAAAUGAUACGUCAACAGAUGAUUGGAUAUGUAUUCCAUAAAAACCAACCAAAUUCUCUGACGUCCGAGAAAAGCCGCCAGCGAGACUGGUAAGAAAGGGCAGUGACCAAGUAAGGGUCUGUUUGGAUAAGGUAUGAAUAAGGUGAGGUAAGUGCAAAUAAUGAAAGGAUAGAGAGGGAAAGGAAGGAGAAAGAUAAAGAGAGUUAUAAUAAAAAAAAAAAUUUCAUGUUUGGGAAGGGGUGAAUUAAUGAAAAGGUGAGGAGAGGUAAUUUGUAUUCUUUAUGUUUAGGAAGAGGUGAAGGAGGGGUAAAUUUAAACGGUGUAUAAAU